GCUGUGGAACUCCUACGGGAGGCAGCAGUGGGGAAUUUUGGACAAUGGGGGCAACCCUGAUCCAGCAAUGCCGCGGGAGUGAAGAAGGCCUUCGGGGUGUAAAGCUCUUUUGUCAGGGAAGAAACGGUAGUAGCUAAUAUCCAUUACUAAUGACGGUACCUGAAGAAUAAGCACCGGCUAACUAGGUGCCAGCAACCGCGGUAAUACGUAGGGUGCAAGCGUUAAUCGGAAUUACUGGGCGUAAAGCGUGCGCAGGCGGUUGUGUAAGUCAGAUGUGAAAUCCCCGGGCGCAACCUGGGAAUUGCAUUUGAGACUGCACGGCGAGAGUGUGUCAGAGGGGAGUAGAAUUCCACGUGUAGCAGUGAAAUGCGUAGAUAUGUGGAGGAAUACCGAUGGCGAAGGCAGCCCCCUGGGAUAACACUGACGAUGAGGCACGAAAGCGUGGGGAGAAAACAGGAUUAGAUACCCGAGUAGUCCUACCACGU
rnacentral:rRNA from 1 species